CUAUGGCUUCCUCGCUCUGAGG
rnacentral:piRNA from 1 species